rnacentral:RNase_P_RNA from 1 species
UGGAUUGGUUGGAGAACCGCCCAGCUCAUUUUUGAGUAUGGGAGGAAAUUCCGAACUUCAUCCAGGAUAUUAUCCUGGAUAUUAAUCCUGGAAAAACGGUAGUGGGUAAUUCCCAUCGUCCAGUAUCCAGUAAGCUUACUGGAUAGAGGUGCGAACAGAGACGUUCGGAAGCGAAAGCCGACGAACAUCCAGUCCAGUAUGCAUACUGGACUGGACUGGAUGAGUUCCGGGGGUAACCUCGGAAGUGAAACGGCUAAAUCCUUACCGGGAAGCAAGACCAAAAAUUUAUCAGGGAUUUGUCCCUGAUAGGUAGGUCGCUAGAUCAGGGUAGUAAUACCCUGACCAGAUUAAUGGUUCUCGUCAAGGAAAUAUCCUUGAAACAGAAUUCGGGGUAUAAACCAAUCCAGUUU